rnacentral:rRNA from 1 species
AGAGACAGCAGUCGCCGCGGGAACACGUAGGGUGCGAGCGUUAAUCGGAAUUACUGGGCGUAAAGCGUGCGCAGGCGGUUUUGUAAGACAGGCGUGAAAUCCCCGGGCUUAACCCGGGAAUGGCGCUUGUGACUGCAAGGCUAGAGUGCGUCAGAGGGGGGUAGAAUUCCACGUGUAGCAGUGAAAUGCGUAGAGAUGUGGAGGAAUACCGAUGGCGAAGGCAGCCCCCUGGGACGAGACUGACGCUCAUGCACGAAAGCGUGGGGAGCAAACAGGAUUAGAUACCCCAGUAGUCCCUGUCUCUUAUAC